ACAAAGUGUUCUUCUGCAAGAGGUCUUUACUUCCUUGUACUGUCUGUCCUGAAGUGUUAUUUCCCUGUUGUUUAAAUUAACCUUGCCCACCAAUCUAUCAGCCCCUCCCAUCCUGCUGUGCUCAGGCAUGCCCACCAAGAAGUCGCCCCCUCCCUGCUAUAACAGCCUUCCCUGCCAGAACUGUUCUUCCCUGCACUCUUCAAAUUAGCUAACUGCAUUCAGUUUAGACUGUGUGGUUCAACCCCAACAAAUAGGGGAAUGACACAUCAACCAAGGCCAAGUGCAUUAGGGAUUAAAAACCCCUGCUGUCUUUUGUCUGAUGUGCUCUUGCCAUUGCUUCAUCCACGAGACGCAUGCUUCUGUAGAAGUAAAUUUGACUCUCUGAGAAAAUUUAUGUUCAACUGCUAUUUCUUUUGGAGCACAAAUAAUAUGUG
rnacentral:lncRNA from 1 species